ensembl:lncRNA
AGGAAAUGAGUCCUUAGCCCAAGUGAAGGAGUUCAAGUACCUCGGGGUCUUGUUCGCGAGUGAGGGUACUAUGGAGCGUGAGAUUGGCCGGAGAAUCGGAGCAGCGGGGGCGGUAUUGCGUUCGCUUUACCGCACCGUUGUAACGAAAAGAGAGCUGAGCCGCAAGGCAAAGCUCUCUACCGGUCGAUCUUCGUUCCUAUCCUCACCUAUGGUCAUGAGGGCUGGGUGAUGACCGAAAGGACGAGAUCGUUGGUACAAGCGGCCGAGAUGAGUUUUCUCAGAAGGGUGGCUGGCGUCUCCCUUAGGGAUAGGGUGAGAAGCUCAGCCAUCCGUGAGGAACUCGGAUUAGAGCCGCUGCUCCUUUACUUAGAAAGGAGUCAGCUGAGGUGGUUCGGGCAUCUGGUAAGGAUGCCCACUGGGCGCUUUCCUUGGGAGGUGUUUCAGGCACGUCCAGUGGGGAGGAGACCUCGGGGAAGACCCAGGACUAGGUGGAGAGAUUAUAUCUCAACACUGGCCUGGGAACGCCUCGGGAUCCCCCCGUCAGAGCUGGUCAAUGUGGGGAAAGGGAAGUCUGGGGCCCCCUGCUUGAGCUGCCCCCCCCGCGACCUGACCCCGGAUAAGCGGAUGACGAUGAGGAUGAGGAUGAGAGGGAUAUUAAUUUGCUGUGAUAGGGUUUCCACUGAGGAUCCCAGCGUUGGAGGGCGAAGGUGGCGCAUGCGAGCGCGCCCUCAGCCAAGGAGCAGGGACCCAUGGUUAUCAUCUCACUCAGGACCCUGCUGGAAGAGCUACUCUGCACUGUGGACAGGGCUGGAAGGCCUAGUCUGCACUGUGGACAGGGCUGGAAGGGUUACUCUACACUGUGGACAGGGCUGGAAGGGUUGCUCUACACUCAGGACACUGCUGGAAGGCAUGCUCUACACUCAGGACACUGCUCGAAGGGUUACUCUACUCCAGAUUUCACACAAUAUUUCACAUCUCAAGUUAUUUUAUAAUGCAACACAGAACAGUUCACUCAACUGGUGCAUUUAGUUUGCAAAACAGACAGACCAUAUUGUCUGCCUCAUCCCAUUAAUAUGUAGGACAAUAUUCAUCCUUCAUUAUAAUUUUUUUUAGCUUUCUUUGACUCCAAAAGCAAUGCUUCUGUUUUUUUUUUUUUUUUAUUUGUUUAUGUCUGGGCUUGCCCUAGGGCAGAUCCAUGCUUUGUUAUGGUUUGGGGGACAGUUGGAAGGAAACAAAAUAUAGGGUCUGCCGUGGAUCCCAGCGGAAGCGAGAAUCACUUUGUGUGGUUUGUCUGUUUUUUUGUUUCAAUUUAUGGGCGGAGCCAGCAGACUCCAGCUUCUCCGGACUCCUCCUUCUCCACCGUAACCAGAACAGAGCCCAUUCAAGAGAGCCUUGGCACUCUCUAUCGAGCCCCAAUGUAUCGAACUUGGUUGCAGUUCCAUUAGAAUUCCACUGGGGGUGAUCGCGGGCGAGUGCAGAUUGAAUGGGGCUCUAUGGAGCUAGACGGCUAAAUGUAUCUCUUUCAGCUGCUUGACGUUGAAACAUCGCAGAUUUGAUUGUAGAUUGAAGUUCAAUAUAGAUUAUAUUUUGAAAUUCGAAUUGUCCUUUCAAUUUCUUACAGGUUGGGCCAUUGUUGGCCUUACGAUUGCCCACGAUUGGUCAGUGACCGACUUGCGACUGAUUACGACCAGAGACCCCGCUUGUUGGCUUCUGAAGCUAAAGCAGAUUCAGAAAAAUUAUCACCACUAACACAGUGCUGUUCCUCCACCGCCUUCCUGGUUCCUACACCGACCCGGCUGGCCUCCUGCAUCAACCAGCCUAAUUUCCAUUGAAUAAACAUUUAAACUGCUUCAACCCUCGUCUGUGUCGUGCGUUUGGGAUCCUCCAAACUCAUGCCGUAACAGUUACUGUGAAUUAAAAGUCAUGUCUGG